rnacentral:rRNA from 1 species
CGAGGGUGCAAGCGUUAUCCGGAUUUACUGGGUUUAAAGGGAGCGCAGGCGGACUGGUAAGUCAGUGGUGAAAGCCUUGAGCUUAACUCGAGAACUGCCAUUGAUACUAUCAGUCUUGAAUGUUGUUGAGGUUUGCGGAAUGGGUCAUGUAGCGGUGAAAUGCAUAGAUAUGACCCGGAACACCUAUUGCGAAGGCAGCAGGCUAAACAAAUAUUGACGCUGAGGCUCGAAAGCGUGGGGAUCAAACAGGAUUAGAUACCCUGGUAGUCCACGCCCUAAACUAUGAUUACUCGACAUACGUGAUAUGACAAUGUGUGUCUGAGCGAAAGCAUUAAGUAAUCCACCUGGGAAGUACGACCGCAAGGUUG